GACGAACGCUGGCGGCGUGCUUAACACAUGCAAGUCGAGCGGAGCGGCGAACGGGUGAGCAACGCGUGAGUAACUUCCCCCCCCUCUGGGAUAACAGUUGGAAACGGCUGCUAAUACCGGAUAGUGGGGGAUGACUCGGGUCCUAUCAGUUUGUUGGUGGGGUAGUGGCCUAACAAGGCGACGACGGGUAGCCGGCCUGAGAGGGCGACCGGCCACAUUGGGCUGAUUAACGGCCCGAAGUCCUACGGGAGGCGGCAGUGUGGGAUAUUGCACAAUGGGGGAAACCCUGAUGCAGCAACGCCGCGUGCGGGGUGACGGCCUUCGGGUUGUAAACCGCUUUCAGCCAUGACGCGGUGGUGGCAGAAGAAGCACCGGCUAACUACGUGCCAGCCGCCGCGGUAAUUG
rnacentral:rRNA from 1 species